AGAGUUUGAUCAUGGCUCAGAAUCAACGCUGGCGGCGUGCCUAACACAUGCAAGUCGAGCGAGAAAAGGGGGGCAACUCCCUGAGUACAGCGGCGCACGGGUGAGUAACACGUGGGUAAUCUGCCCUGGAGUGGGGAAUAACACCGGGAAACCGGUGCUAAUACCGCAUACGAUCACGAUGUCUGCGGACGUUGUGAUGAAAGGAGCAAUUCGCUCCAGGAGGAGCCCGCGGCUGAUUAGCUAGUUGGUGAGGUAAUGGCUCACCAAGGCAACGAUCAGUAUCCGGUCUGAGAGGACGGUCGGACACACUGGAACUGAGACACGGUCCAGACUCCUACGGGAGGCAGCAGUGGGGAAUUUUUGGCAAUGGGGGAAACCCUGACCAAGCAACGCCGCGUGGGUGAUGAAGUCUCUUGGGACGUAAAACCCUUUCGACGGGGAAGAAAACCGCAAGGUUUGACGGUACCCGUAGAAGAAGCCCCGGCUAACUCCGUGCCAGCAGCCGCGGUAAUACGGGGGGGGCAAGCGUUGUUCGGAAUUACUGGGCGUAAAGGGUGCGUAGGCGGUGCUCUAAGUCGGAUGUGAAAACUCUGGGCUCAACCCAGAGCCUGCAUCCGAAACUGGAGUGCUAGAGUUCUGGAGGGGGUAGCGGAAUUCCUGGUGUAGCGGUGAAAUGCGUAGAUAUCAGGAGGAACACCGGUGGCGAAGGCGGCUACCUGGACAGAGUCUGACGCUGAGGCACGAAAGCUAGGGGAGCAAACAGGAUUAGAUACCCUAGUAGUCC
rnacentral:rRNA from 1 species